rnacentral:rRNA from 1 species
UUGAUCAUGGCUCAGGAUGAACGCUAGCGGCAGGCCUAAUACAUGCAAGUCGAACGAGAUUAUCCAGCUUGCUGGAUAUGAAAGUGGCGCACGGGUGCGUAACGCGUAUGCAACCUACCUUAAUCAGGGGGAUAGCCCGAAGAAAUUCGGAUUAACACCGCAUAAAAACACAGGGUAGCAUUACUCAAUGUUCAAAUAUUUAUAGGAUUAAGAUGGGCAUGCGUGUCAUUAGCUAGUUGGCGGGGUAACGGCCCACCAAGGCGACGAUGACUAGGGGAUCUGAGAGGAUGACCCCCCACACUGGUACUGAGACACGGACCAGACUCCUACGGGAGGCAGCAGUAAGGAAUAUUGGUCAAUGGAGGCAACUCUGAACCAGCCAUGCCGCGUGCAGGAAGACAGCCCUAUGGGUCGUAAACUGCUUUUAUCCGGGAAUAAACCUUUCUACGUGUAGAGAGCUGAAUGUACUGGAAGAAUAAGGAUCGGCUAACUCCGUGCCAGCAGCCGCGGUAAUACGGAGGAUCCAAGCGUUAUCCGGAUUUAUUGGGUUUAAAGGGUGCGUAGGCGGCCUGUUAAGUCAGAGGUGAAAGACGGUAGCUCAACUAUCGCAGUGCCUUUGAUACUGAUGGGCUUGAAUGAACUAGAGGUAGGCGGAAUGAGACAAGUAGCGGUGAAAUGCAUAGAUAUGUCUCAGAACACCGAUUGCGAAGGCAGCUUACUAUGGUUUUAUUGACGCUGAGGCACGAAAGCGUGGGGAGCAAAC